rnacentral:tRNA from 1 species
GGGGAUUCAGCUCAGUGGUAGAGCACUUGCCUAGCAAGCACAAGGCCCUGGGUUCAGUCCCCAGCUCCCCCC